AGAGCGAACGCUGGCGGCAUGCUUAACACAUGCAAGUCGCACGGGCAGGGGUAACUCUGUCAGUGGCGGACGGGUGAGUAACGCGUAGGUAUCUAUCUCUGGGUGGGGGAUAACCGUGGGAAACUACGGCUAAUACCGCAUGACACCUGAGGGUCAAAGGCGCGAGCCGCCUGGAGAGGAGCCUGCGUUCGAUUAGCUAGUUGGUGGGGUAAAGGCCUACCAAGGCGACGAUCGAUAGCUGGUCUGAGAGGAUGAUCAGCCACAUUGGGACUGAGACACGGCCCAAACUCCUACGGGAGGCAGCAGUGGGGAAUAUUGGACAAUGGGCGCAAGCCUGAUCCAGCAAUGCCGCGUGGGUGAAGAAGGUUUUCGGAUUGUAAAGCCCUUUUGGCGGGGACGAUGAUGACGGUACCCGCAGAAUAAGCCCCGGCUAACUUCGUGCCAGCAGCCGC
rnacentral:rRNA from 1 species